AUUGAACGCUGGCGGCAGGCCUAACACAUGCAAGUCGAACGGUAACAGGAAGCAGCUUGCUGCUUUGCUGACGAGUGGCGGACGGGUGAGUAAUGUCUGGGAAACUGCCUGAUGGAGGGGGAUAACUACUGGAAACGGUAGCUAAUACCGCAUAACGUCGCAAGACCAAAGAGGGGGACCUUCGGGCCUCUUGCCAUCGGAUGUGCCCAGAUGGGAUUAGCUAGUAGGUGGGGUAACGGCUCACCUAGGCGACGAUCCCUAGCUAGUCUGAGAGGAUGACCAGCCACACUGGAACUGAGACACGGUCCAGACUCCUACGGGAGGCAGCAGUGGGGAAUAUUGCACAAUGGGCUCAAGCCUGAUGCAGCCAUGCCGCGUGUAUGAAGAAGGCCUUCGGGUUGUAAAGUACUUUCAGCGGGGAGGAAGGGAGUAAAGUUAAUACCUUUGCUCAUUGACGUUACCCGCAGAAGAAGCACCGGCUAACUCCGUG
rnacentral:rRNA from 1 species